CUGCACACUUGGCAACAUCAUCCACUCUUUGCACUCACAUUUUAUUAUUUUCCUCUGAACGGAAACCAUAAAAAAAAGAAAACAUUGCACACCACCUGUUAGACCUUGCACACUGGAGGGAGUGUGAGUCAGCUGCACACGGGAUAAGAAGAUGGAUAAAGAACCCACCCAGCAAACCGAGACACUUGGGGUGAAGCCUGUGAGGGUUCAGGGCUUUGGCCUUAGAGGUUGUCAAAUGGGUGCAAAUAAAGUGUGAACCAAUGGGACUUUCAGCUAUGGAGCACAAGUCAGUGUGAUUUGGUGGGACUGGGGGGGCGGGAUUGAAUUUGUGAUUUCAUUGGUCCUGCUUAGUUACGCCCACUUAGUGCAGCAGGUUGCCAGUGAGGAGGGGCUGGUUUUCAGGAAGUCGUAGAUCUCCAGGAGGUUUAGGUGGCCUUUUCACGUGCUGAAGUCGUCCUCCUACCUAUGCUGGUGUCCUGUCCGAAGAUGAGCGACGACAUGAGGUUUCCCCACACGGCAGACGACUGAAAGAUGAAGAAGAAGAUGCCAAAGUACUGGUUGAUGACAUCCGAGCCCUUUUUGCCGUCCUUAUCAGCCUGCACGUUUCCGGAGAUGGUCAGAAAACACGCGUGGACGUCGCAGCUUGAUAAGCAACCCGCCCAUCCAAAAACCAGAUCUGACCACCUCGUAGUGGACUCAUAUCAGCAACAAAACGCAACGUACAAACUGACUCAGCAGUUCAUGUGCUAAAUAUGGAUUAAGGGAGACAGAGUCCACAAAUAAAGCCUCAAACGUCCAGCCACACUGUAAGUGCAACACUUCACAUGCAUGCUGUCAGUGGCAGGUGAAUAAAAAGCUCAGUUGUUGGCCGCAGAAUCACAGAUUUCUCUGGGUUGGAAAACUGCUGGAAGCAUUUAGGAUAAGAACACAACACAAGCAAUAAAAAACAAAGGUUUAGUUGUUUUUAUCCAUUUUAAUAUGGAAAUAUUACAUCUUAUAUCUUUAGCCUUCAGCCUAGAGGAGACUUC